AGAGUUUGAUCCUGGCUCAGGAUGAACGCUGGCGGCGUGCUUAACACAUGCAAGUCGAGCGAAAAUAAUUGAGAGCUUGCUUUUGAUUAUUUUAGCGGCGGACGGGUGAGUAACGUGUGGGUAACCUGCCUUUUACUGUGGAAUAAUCGUUGGAAACGACGACUAAUACCGCAUACGGUUCUUGGAAGGCAUCUUCUAAGAAAGAAAGGAGUAAUUCGGUAAAAGAUGGGCCCGCAUCUGAUUAGCUAGUUGGUGAGAUAACAGCCCACCAAGGCAACGAUCAGUAGCCGACCUGAGAGGGUGACCGGCCACAUUGGGACUGAGACACGGCCCAAACUCCUACGGGAGGCAGCAGUGGGGAAUAUUGCACAAUGGGGGAAACCCUGAUGCAGCAACGCCGCGUGAAGGAAGACGGUUUUCGGAUUGUAAACUUCUAUCAAUAGGGAAGAAAGAAAUGACGGUACCUAAAUAAGAAGCCCCGGCUAACUACGUG
rnacentral:rRNA from 1 species